GAUGAAUGCUGGCGGCGUGCCUAAUACAUGCAAGUCGAGCGAACAGAUAAGGAGCUUGCUCCUUUGACGUUAGCGGCGGACGGGUGAGUAACACGUGGGUAACCUACCUAUAAGACUGGAAUAACUCCGGGAAACCGGGGCUAAUGCCGGAUAACAUUUAGAACCGCAUGGUUCUAAAGUGAAAGAUGGUUUUACUAUCACUUAUAGAUGGACCCGCGCCGUAUUAGCUAGUUGGUAAGGUAACGGCUUACCAAGGCAACGAUACGUAGCCGACCUGAGAGGGUGAUCGGCCACACUGGAACUGAGACACGGUCCAGACUCCUACGGGAGGCAGCAGUAGGGAAUCUUCCGCAAUGGGCGAAAGCCUGACGGAGCAACGCCGCGUGAGUGAUGAAGGUCUUCGGAUCGUAAAACUCUGUUAUUAGGGAAGAACAAAUGUGUAAGUAACUGUGCACGUCUUGACGGUACCUAAUCAGAAAGCCACGGCUAACUACGUG
rnacentral:rRNA from 1 species